rnacentral:rRNA from 1 species
GACGAACGCUGGCGGCGUGCUUAACACAUGCAAGUCGAACGGAAAGGCCCGGCUUUUGUGGGGUGCUCGAGUGGCGAACUGGUGAGCAACACGUGAGUACCCUGCCCCUCACCGUGGGGUAUCUUCAUGAAAGAGGGGCUCAUACCGCAUAGGAUCUCCUGCCGCAUGGUGGGCGCUCGAAAGUUUCGGCGGUUGGGGAUGGACUAGCGGCGUAUCAGCUUGUUGGUUGGGUAGUGUCUUACCAAGGCUUUGACGGGUAGCCGACCUGAUAGGGUGACCGGCCCCAUUGGACCUGAGAUGAGGCCCAGCCUCCAACGCUAGGCAGCGGUGGGGAAUGUUGCACAAUAGGCUGAAGCCUGAUGCGGCCCCGCCGCGUGCGGGAUGUGGGGCAUCGGGUUGUAAACCGAUUUCGACUUUGACGAGGCGUGAGUGACGGUACCGGGUAAAGAAGCACCGGCUAACUACGUG